UGCGCUUAAGGAGCGGCCGAUGCCUGAUUAGCUAGUUGGUGGGGUAAUGGCUUACCAAGGCUACGAUCAGUAGUUGGUCUGAGAGGACGACCAUCCACACUGGGACUGAGACACGGCCCAGACUCCUACGGGAGGCAGCAGUGGGGAAUUUUGGACAAUGGGCGAAAGCCUGAUCCAGCAAUGCCGCGUGAGUGAAGAAGGCCUUCGGGUUGUAAAGCUCUUUCAGUCGAGAAGAAAAGGUUGUGACUAAUAAUCACAAUUUAUGACGGUAUCGACAGAAGAAGCACCGGCUAACUACGUGCCAGCAGCCGCGGUAAUACGUAGGGUGCAAGCGUUAAUCGGAAUUACUGGGCGUAAAGGGUGCGCAGGCGGCUUUGUAAGUCAGAUGUGAAAUCCCCGGGCUUAACCUGGGAAUUGCGUUUGAAACUACAAAGCUAGAGU
rnacentral:rRNA from 1 species